rnacentral:lncRNA from 1 species
GUUUAGUAGUAUUAAGAAUACUACAUAAAUAUUGCAUUAAAUAUUACUUUAGGCUCCGUUUGGAUAUGUGAGAUUUUAAAUUCUUGUUCUAAAUCCGUCAGUAUGUUUGAAUAACAAAUAAAUCAAAAUAUUUGAAAUCAACAAAAAUCACAUAUGAAUUCCAAGAGUAAAGACAAGAAUUUUAAAUAAUUUCAAAAUAUGUGUUUUUGACAAAUUCUUCUACCUUCUCAUUUAUCUCAAUUUUGCCUUUUUUUGUUUUGAAAGUUGAUUAAACUCUUAAUUAUUAGGUUUUUGUAGGGAAGACGAAACUAAAAAAUGAUUAAUAAAAAAGCCAAAAAAUCUCAUUAAAGUGAUGUUUCUAAUAGAUCUAAACAUACUUUUAGAUCAAAAUGCGGAUAUAAUCGAGAUACAUGUGGCCAUUGAUAUUUACUCAAUCUGUUAGUGAUUGGUGUUAGGUUAAGGCUUCUUCUAAACCUUAAUCAUCUCCUAUGAUGGUGUAUUUUAACGAGAUGUAGGCUUAGGGACCCACCCAAGAGCAAUUACCCCUAGAUUUACUCUAUCCAUCAAAAGAAGUAACAUAUAAUGUGCAAUAAAUGCGCCAUAAAAGGCACGGAAGUUGGAGCAGAUCAUAACAUGGUUUAGAAAACGGUCCAUAAAUGUGUAUAAAUUGCACAGAAACGUUCUUGGAAUGUGAAACUCAUGGGGGCCAAAUGAAACGGGUUAUGAUCAGUUUGAAAAAUCAAUGGAAAAUCUAACAUGUUCCCUUAUGGCUAGAUACUUGAUGGGCGAUGUGCUUCUGCGGAUACCACUUUUAUUGUUUUUAGCCAUAAAAACUGCAGCUGAAUGUCACAAUAUAUCUUAAUGGUCUAGAAAUAGAAUCCACAAUUCUAAGACGAGAAAUGAAACUUUUAUCCAUACACCAUGCGAAGUAGCCUCAAAACAAGAUACGAACUCAGCCUCCAUAGUGGCAAUAGCAGUUAAAGUUUGCUUUGUACUCCUCCAAGAUACAGCUCCACCGGCAAAAACAUAAGCUAUAUCCGAUGUUGAUUUUCGUGAAUCAACACAGCCAAGUGAGUCCGAAUCAGAGUAGCAAUUACCUCCAGAUUUUCAGUUCGUCAUACAUAAGCAGUUUAAUCCUUGGUCCCUUGACGGUACCUCAUCACUUACUUUGCAGCUCUCCAAUGGUCACACCUGGAUUACUUGAUAUCUUCCUACAUCCCAAUAGCAAAGCAAUGGAAGGUCUUGUACAGACCGGAGCAUACAUUAGGCUUCACAAGCAGAAGAAUAGGGAUAUUUUUCAUUUUGUUCCCUUUCAAGAUUCAUCUUCGGGCACUGGUCAAAUCGAAAUUGUAACCCUUUCACAAUGAGAGCUAUAACUUGGUGAACAAUUUUUCAUCCGAAAUCUCUCUAAAAUCUUGGUUAAUAUAGGUCUCUUGAAACAGACCCAAGAUGCCUGAAAUUGGCUCUAUAGAUCCUUAAUGCCAAUGACAUAAAGAUGGCCUUGGCAUUAUUGAUAUCCUGCAUCGUCACAAUUUUUAGAGAGAAAUUGUGUUUACCUCGUGUAGCAAAACCCUUGUCAUUGGCUUUGCAAAGCAGAUGUCAUCCACAUAUAAAAAAAGAAAACAUAUCUUACUCCCACCAACCUUUUGGUAUAUACAUUGAUUCAUGAUAUUUUCUACAAAUCCGAAUGAAGGAAAGAAAUUAGAAGAAAUUACCAUUAGGAAAUUAAACAUCACACUGAUGGAUACUUGUUUUUUAAACGUUAAUAUGGAUUUCUUUAGUUUGCAGGACCAAAAUUGCUUACACACUAGAGGGGAAUCCUCAGUUUGUUUCAUAUAAACCUCUUCCUCUAGAUCUCCAUUGAGGAAACGCAGUGUAGUUUUCAAUCCAUUGUUGCACUCCAAGUCAAAAUGGCUACGAAUGCCAAUAUUAAUUGCGUAAGGAAUCUUCUUAGAUACAGGAUGAGAAGGUCUUCGUGUAGUCGAUUCCUUCCCUUUGAGUGAAUACCUUUAAAAAACGAUCUUUACCUUGUAUCUCUCAAUGUUGCCCAAUGAGUUUUUUUGUUUAAAGACCAUUUACAUCCAAUGGGCUUGUGUACCGAUUAGGCAAUCAACAAGAUCCCGACUCAUUACUUUUCUUAGAAUUCAUUUCUUUCUUCAUGGCAUUGUACAUAAUUCAGAUUCUUUGCAACUCAUUGGCUGCAAGGACUCCAGGAUCAUUUUCGGCUCCAUAUUGUAGUUUCAGAUUCUUGUAGAUACACAAAAUAAUCACUAGGAAUUGUUGAUUUCUUUGGUCUUAAGUAGAUAUUAUUAAUGUUGUACCAUAUCUUCUUGAGAAUUGGGUCAACUGGCUGAUCAAAAGUUUUUGGCAACUAUUGAACUACCUGACUAUGGAAUAUUGUUUAGCAACUUGUGGAAUUUCAAUGAUUGGAGGUCAAAACCAGUGUCUACUUGAGGGGUGCUAUGAAGAAUAAUAAUCAAUCUAUCACUUGAAGUAGAAGGUUGAUAUUCUAAAGAUCCUUGUAGAAGAAAAUUAUGUUUCUGGUUUGAUUCACUCCUGCUAAUCAAGUCAUUUUCAAGAAAAUUUCAUUUCUUGAUUCCACAAUCCAAUAUUGUGAGAUGGACAGUAAAAAACAUAGCCCUUAGACCUUUCAGCAUAUCCAUGAAAUACCACUCAUGGUCCUUGGUUCAACUUCUUUUUUGUGAUAUUAAAUUCUUACUUCAGACGAGGCAUCCCAAAUGCGCACAUGUUCGCCAAAAUCGGUUUCCAACCUUUCCAUAACCGAAUGGUGUUUAGGAACAACUUUGGUUGGGAACUCGAUUUAAUUAUAUGUUGCUAUGCUUAAGUGGCUUCAGUCCAUAGGAUUUAGGAAGAUGGAGUGCUGCAUACUCCGCACCAUGUCCAAUAAUGUUCGAUUUUUCUUUCUGCCACCACCAUUUUGUCUGGUGAACCAGGCAUGGUGUAUUGCCAACAAUUUCCCAUUCUCUUGAAGAACUUUGCAAACGGACCUGUUCCUUGUCACAUCUUGGUAUCUACAUAAUAUCUCCACCUCUAUCUGAUCUCAUGAUUUAAUAUGCUUUUCACAUUGUUUCUUACUUCCAAGCCUUGAAGGAUCUAAAGCAUCCAUGCUUCGUUCUGUUUAAAGCAAGUAGAGAUAACAUGUAAUAGUAAUAAUCAUCUACAAAUAAAGAAGAUGAGUAUUUCUUGACCAUGUGCAUCCAGUCCUGGACUACAUAUAUAUCAGUAUUAGGAUCUCUAAUAUUUCUGAACCUCCUAUUGUCACCUUUCCUUGACCUUGUUGGUUUGCUUCCCUUAAUGGCAAUCCACACAGUUUUAAAUCAGUAAAUCAAGAGUACUAAGUACCCACCGCCAUCAUUUACUAAUAUCUUAUUUAUUUCUUUAGAGAUAUGUCCCAAUCUCUGGUGCCCAUAAUAUAGAGGAAUUCUCAUUACACACAUCUUUUUUGUGUCCAGUAUGAACAUUCUAUCAUUAUAUUGGAAAUAUCAUUUUGGUAAUUUAAUAGAGAAAAGACCCAUCAGACAAUGUACCAUUCCCAACAAGAUCAGAUUUAUAAAUAAAUUGAAAGAUGUCUUCCUGAAAAGUUAAAGGAAUAUCCCAAAUGUACAAGUCUUGAAACCGAAAUAAUUCUAGAAAACCUUGAAUAUAAAAUGUCUUUUCCCAAAUGUAAAAUAAAACUACUACUUAGAACUAAUUAUAAUGUUCCUACAGCCUCCACAUGUGAACACAUCUUUGUUUUUCUGAAUAGAUAUCUUGCUCACUUCCCACUUGCGUUCCUUAGGUUUCGCAUACCCUGCCAAGGUAUUCGAAAUAUGUGAUUGGUAGAACUAGAAUCAAUCCCCCAUUGUGUUAUAAAUAACAUCAUCAUAUAGGAUUUUUUCAUCACAAACAAACGAGGUGAGAUACCUUUCAUAUUCAAGCCAUUUCGAAAUUUUCACACCUUCUUUACUUGUCCCCUUCUUUUUUACAAAAAAACACGUGGAUUUCUUCUUAAUAUUGUGAGACCCUAAAUCCUAUUUCAUAAUUAUUUUCAUUCCAAUGCAUAAUUUAUAGUAAUGUUUGGUUAAUUCAAUUUAGUUUAUUGACGUGCAGCAUGUUCGUAUUAUGUGGGCGGGUAUGUGCGGGGGGUAAAAUGUUAUUAAAUUAAAGUUAUGGGGUACAAAGCGUGAAUACUUAACUUAGUUGGGGUUAAAUUGAAAAUUUAAACACUUGUGAGAUAAAUCAAAGAAGACAUCGAAAUUAGAAUGGAAAAGGUGUAAUUUAAUUAAAAACAUGAUGGUGGUUGUCGGCCAUUGUAUCUAUAUUUGCUUGUAAAGAAAAAAAAGAAAGAAAGAGGAAGGGAAAGGAGAGAAGACCGAGAGAAGGAAAAAAGAGAGAAGGAAGGAAACUCAGAGAAAAGAGAGAAAAACAAGAGAAGAUAAGAACGCAGAGAAAUACAAAUAACGGCUUUGAAGAACAUUGUGUUUAACCAAUUGUAAGUGAAUGUUAUGCACUAUUUUAACUUAUUAGUUUUAAUUGUUUAAAUUAUGAAAAUCUUUUAGCAUGUGCCAAGUUAUGAUGUGUUAAAGGUACUCUUAAGAAAUUGGGUUUUAGAAAGAGAGAUAAGAUGAUAUUGGUAAUUCCUUAAAAACACAAUAAUAUAUAUUAUGAUGAAUAAUAAUUCCUAACCCGAAUGAAUUGAUUUUGCACUAAAAAUUAAGUGUUUGUACGUAUUGAUGUUAAGGAUCUAUGAAAUAGUCUCUUGAAAAAAGAAAAAAAAUUUGAAAACAAAAGAGGGGAGCCGAAGCUUUCCGUUGUUCAUAAAGGCUUCCAGACUGGGAAUUAUCCAUGUGUGGGCCCCCACCCCCCCCCACCCCCGAGCCGAUGAGACUAUCGUGUUCUUUAGUUAAAGGUUGGUCAAUCGGAUGAGUUUUUGGUCGUAGAAUAGGUCGUUUUCUAUGUUUUUCAAGCAUCUGAAUCAAAUGUUAGUGUCUGUUUCACCUAAUUCGAAAAGUUACAACAAUUGCUUUGGACAUAAGUAAGUGAUCGUUAGAGAUUUUAAGCGAUAAAUGUCAACAUCAACGGUGAAAAACUUGUCCCAUUUGCCUUAAAAAUUAAUGGAGUGUACCACUUGAUUUAUGAUCACCAUUGUAUCAAAUUAUAUAUUUAUAGAUUUUGAGUUGUAGUACAAAUCGUAAUUGGCGUCUAAUAAAGUAUGAUAACGGAGCUAAUGAAGGAGAAGGGCCUUCAAGGCAACUUAGGGUGUGACUUGACUUACGGUGACAGGUGGGAAAUAAUAUUAAAGAUCAUCUUAUUCAUGAAUUGAAUUGCUUGUCUUUUAUACGAUUGAUGAGAUUUGGUGAAUUUUAUACGACUGGUGAUAAGGAUUAUUAUCUGUGGAUUAUAUCUGUGAGGUGAUGUGGCAAAUGCAUAUAAUUAUCUUUGUGUGCUUUAUUGCACUGGUGAAAGUAACCACGGUGGGUUAACUAGGCUUAGUCACGGUGGAGCUAGCCAGGGGUUGCCACGGUGGGCAUUCCUUUGAUAAGACCAACAAAUAUGUGGGCCCACGUUUAUCUAAAUUUGCGCGCACAUGUGGGUGAAUACAUUAUCAUUGACAUUCUUAUUGGCUAUUUUUUCAUGGUGUAGGGCGUUAUCUGUAUCAUUCUUUUAAUGAAUUUGAUUAUCUAAUUGUUAGCAUGUGGAUUAUUAGCUCACACCCACACAGAAUCUUUUUGAAGGUGAAGUGAUACAGUAAGUUGUCUGGUUUAUACUUACGUGUGUUGUACUCCUAACGUGGUGAUCAUCCUGGUCGAGGUUGGAGUCCCCCCCUUUUUUUAGAAAAAAAAAAAGAACUCGAGUAGUUCUCACUUUGUAGAUUUUUGAGUUAACCUUGAGGGGUUGAUUUGGGUAUAUGUCUUGUGUUUACAAGAGAGAUUUUUAAUGUAUGUGUAUUCUCUAUGGUUUGAGGUUUGAUUUUAAUUAUCAGUGUAAUAUGACCCUGGCUGGGUAAUUUAUUCCUUGUUUGGGCUUGAAUAUUUGUGGUAAUACAUGUGUCGUUCGCAGGCAAUGGUGGCCUGUCGAUCACUCCUGCUAAAUACAUUAAUUAUGUUGUUUAGGUUUGGGGGUGUGACAGUUUGAUACCAUUUGGUAUCAAGCAGUGGUUUAAAAGCCAAAGGAUAUCACUUAGGCUAGGUCCGUGGGGUUUGUUUCUAGGAUCACAGUGAACCAGGGUGUUGUCAGUAUUGUCGAGUGGGUUUGUUAUAUUUAUGUUGUAUUAUAUGUUGCAAUGUGCUAAUUUACUUGAUGCAAAAGAAGAUAUGGCGGAUGAGGAAUCAUCAGUUUCCGCUAGAGGGGUGGUACAAGAGGAGCCCUGAACCACGAAGCAGCAAUCAGCCUGACGCAAACAGGAGAUUAAACAACUCCUGUCCUUGAUGACAUAACAGGUACAUGGAGUUUCAAAUGCAAGGCCAUACGGGGUACCACCCACAUGAGCAUUGUAAUGGAAUUGAAUUCCGCCUGAUUUUGGGGGCAACUGGAUCCUUUAGUGGCUGAAUAAUGGGUGUGAAGAAAUUAUAUACCAGUUUUGAAGUGAUGGAAGUGACCAGCUACAAAAUUGACUUUUAGGCCACAUUUAUGUUGAGGGGAGAGGCAAGAAAUUGGGGGAAUCGAUGAGGAAAUGCAACCUGAGGAGUGCCAUUUUUCAUGGGCAACGAUUUGUGGAAAACUUCAAUGAUCAGUACCUUUCCCGUCGCAUCUGCCGCAUGCAAAAAGAAGAAGAGUUUAUUCAUUGAAAAAAGGACGUGUCUAUAGUGGAUUUAAGAAAAAUUUAUUGCUUUGUCUCGAUUUGCGCCUGAAAUGGUGCGUACUGAGAACUAAGUGCAGACGAUUUGAGCCUGGCCUAGAUACUGGCAAAGAUCGGAGUCGUGUAGCGCUGUUUUUAGCUUAAUAAUAUUCAGAGUUUAGUGACAAAUCAAAAAUUGCAGAACAGAGUUGAUGGAAUUUCAAAAUAGACCAAGAGAAGAAUUCAAAGUAAAAAAGGAUAUUUGAUUCGGGGCCCGGACCGUCAAGACAAAGUCCCUACAGAUGUAACAGGCGACAGUAGUGCAGAGCAGAGACCCAGACUGAUGCGAGGAGUGUAGGACUGGUAGUUCUGGAGGUGGAGGAAAUUCUAUCAGGGGAAGAGGAUCGUGGAAACCACCAGCUAGACCUAAUACUGCACAAUCUGGUACUACAGGAGAAUCAUUUGUUAUCGGUGGCGGUGUUGAGGCAUAUGGUCCGGAUUGUCUCAAUGCCUUGGUAGAUAAUGUUAUCAGUGUGGGAACCUGGACACAUCGCAAGACAUUGUACUCACGAGGCCUGUUUGCAGUUUCAUCAUUAGGCAUUGCAGUUGAGAGAGGUAAGAGAGCAAUAGAAGUGCACAAUACAAGGGCAGGCAACUACUCCAUAACCGCGUACUCAAGCUCGUAGUUUAAUGCCUGACACAGAAGCAUGUCAAAGCCACUUCCUAAUGCAGUACAGGUACACUUUUAGUAAUAAUUAGAAAGCUUACGUUUGAUAGAUCCAGGUGCUACACUUCAUUGUGUCCUACUAUAAUUCGGGCAUGCCCUCUAGAUAAGAUCAUGUAGUUCCUUUUCCAACCUUUACUUGUGUCCCUACCCAGUGGAGAUGUGGGGGAGUGGAGGAGUAUAUAAGGAAGUGUGUUUUUGAAAAUUGGGUGAGAAUGAGUUAUUAGUUGAAUUUGAUGCCACUGAGUAUUCAUGACUUUGAUCUAAUUUUGGGAAUGAAUUGGUUUAGCUUUCUUACAUGCUUCUAUGACUGUUUUAAGAGGAGGUUGUGUUUAAAUAAUCCAAAUGAAUUGGAAUUUACAUUUCAAGGUGAAAGGGAUGUAACUCCCACUUGUUUGCUUCGGCUGUGAAAGCAAGAAAGUGUUUUUGCAGAAAGGCUGUGAGGGAUAUUUGGCUCACAUUAUGAUACAGCUAUAGUAGAAAAGAAGUUAUCUGAUUGUCUGUUGUUAGAGAUUUUUUCCCAGAUGUGUUUCCAGAUUGACCUUCAGGAGUAAUACCCAGAACGGGAAGUGGAGUUUCUAUUGAGUUAUUGCCUGGGAACUGCACUUUUCUCUCCUCCGUAUAGAAAUGGCACCAUCUAAUUGCGCGAAUUGAAAGUGCAAUGUCAUGAUUUGCUUGAGAAAGGGGUUUAUUUCAGCCGAGUGUAUCACCUGGGGUGCGCCAGUUCUGUUUGUGAAGAAGAGGAUGGGUAACGAUCGACUAUGUAUAGAUUAUAGACAGUGAAUCAGAUCACAGUACAGAACAAGUAUCCUUUACCUCGGAUGUGAUUUGCUUUUAUCGUUACAGGGUGCUUGUGUCUUUUCCAAGAUUGAUUUGAGAUCUGGGUUCAUCAUUGAAAGUAAAGGCAGUGAUGUAUCGAAGACUGCAUUCCGUACUCGAUAUGACACUAUUGAGUUUUUGGUAAUGCCUUUUGGAGUAACGAAUGCACCAGCUAUUUUCAUGGAUUUGAUGCACAGGGUAUUCAUCUUUUUCCCCCCCUUUAUUCAAUUUGUCAUUGUGUUUAUUGACGACAUAUUGGUUUUUUUUCUCGGAUUCAGGAAGAACAUGAAAGCAUUUUGAGAAUUGUUUACAGACUUUACGUGAAAACAUUGUAUGCUAAGUCAGCAAAUGUGAAUUUGCUGGAUGGGGUUUGCAUUCUUGGGUCUGUUAUAUCUGCAGAAGGAACUAACAUGUGGGAUCCAAAAAGAUAGAGGCAGUAAUGAAUUGGGAGGCGCGCCGAAGAAAUGUGUCAGAAACAGAAGUUUUCUGGUUUUUGGCGGUUAUUAUCGAAAGUUUAUACAAUGGGUUUUUUCUUCUAGUGGCUGUUCAGUUGACGCGGUUGACUCGCAAGGAUGUCAAAUUGAGUGGACAGAUGAUUUGUGACGAGUUUUCACAGAAUUGAAAACUAGUUGACUACGGCACCAGUGUUGACGAUUCUUCUGAAAGGGAGACUUUGUGGUAUAUGUGAUGCUUCACAUCAGGGAUUAGGAUGUGUAUUGAUGCAGCAAAGACAGGUAGUUGCGUAUGCGUCAAGACCAGUUGAAGCCACAUGAAAUGAAUUAAUCCUAAUACAUGAUUAGGUUGGCUUUGUGGUGUUUGCUUUGAAGAUAUGGAGGCAUUUUUUGUAUGGAGAGUCUUUUGAAGUGUUACAGAUCAUCAAAGCUUAAAGUAUUUGUUUACAACAACGAGAUUUGAAUGCUAGCAGAGGAAUGGAAUGGAGCUGGAUUAAAGACUAUGAAUUGUGAUUCAUUCAUCCAGUAGAGCCAAUGUGGUGCUGCCUGCUUUGAGUAGGAGUCUGCAGGACGGCUAGCUUGUAUCAAAUGUUGUCGGGCAAGUUAUGUGCAGAGACUGAAUUACUUGAGAGUGGAGUUUGAGCAAAAGAAGAUGGGUGUUAUGGUAGCACACUUGCAAGUGAGACCUUUAUUGCUUGAUCGUAUUCCGCGAAUUGCAAAUGCAAGAUGAUCAAUUGAGGAAGAUUAGAACACAAGUGGUGGGACAAAGUUAAUAUUUAGUUCUCUAUACUUGAUGAUGGACCCUUGAUGUUUGGAAAUAGGUUUUUUGUAUUCCCAAUGCGUUAGAGUUGAAGAUAUAUUUCUAGGGGAAGCACCCCAAUCAUUUGUAUGCCAUGCAUCCAGGGAGCACAAGAUGUAUAGAGAGCUGCCGAGAAGUGGUAUGGGUGGCCAGGUAUGAAGACAGAAUAUUAGUCAUGAGUUUGUGGCAAGAUAUGUCUAACUUGUCAACAUGUGAAAGCUGAACAUCAAAGAAACCUGUGUUUGUUGCAACUCUUCCUAUUCCACAGUGGAAAGGGAGCAUAUUGGCUAUGGAUUUUUGUGGUGGGACUGUUCCAAAAAGCUGCUACGGGUUUUUGAUUCUAUUUGGGUGAUUGUUGAUAGAUUGGACCAAAUCAGCUCAUUUCCGCAUUAAGAUCACUUACUCCUUUACAGAUUGCAAAGGCCUUAUGUGGAUUAGAUUGUGAGAUUGCAUUGAGCACUAGUUUCUAUUGUCAGACCGAGAUCCCAAUAUUUACUUCCAGAUUUUGGGCCAAGUCUUCAACAAGCUAUGGGCACAUCAUUGAAUUCAGUACGGCAUUCAUCCUCAGACAGAUGGGUCAAUCUGAGAGGACAUUCAAGAUUUGGAGGAUAUUUUUUUUUUGAGGGCCCCCUUGUAUGCUGGACUUCAAAGGGUAGUUGGAAUGAUUUCAUUGCCUUGAUGUGAGUUUGCGUAUAACAUAGUUAUCAGACUAGUAUUGGUAUGGAACCAUUUUGAAGUCCUUAUAUGCAGAAAUGUCUAACUCCAGUGUGUUGACUGAAGUGGGUGAAAGACAGUUGUUGGGUCCAGAGAUGAUUCAGGAUACAACAGAAAAAUCAAAACAGUUCAUGAGCAGGUUGAAGUGUUGCACAGAGUAGACAAAGAGUUUGCUGAUACUCGCCGCCUGGAGCUUGAAUUCGAGGUGUGAGAUCAAGUUGUCUUGAAAAGUUUCUUCUCCCAUGGAAAGGUUGUAUUGAGAUUUGGGAGGAGGGUAAAUUGAAUCCAAGGUACAUUGGUCGCAUAUACCAUAAUUGAGAGAGUGUUACAACAGCUUAUCGAUGACUUACCCCCGGCCAGAAAUGUCGAAGCUACACAAUGUGUUUUCAAUGUAUCUAUGUUGAGGAAGUUAUAGCAUCCGUCACAUGGGUUUGAUACAGCAGAAACCGAUUGAGUGGAGGAUGAGACUUGAGUUAUGUAAGAGGAACCCGGUUCAAAUCUUAGAAGAAGGGAGCAAGUUCUUCGGACAAAGUAAUCCAUUGGUGAAAUUUUCUAUGGAGGAGCCAAACAGUAAGAUGAGGCUACAUGUGAGAGUGAGGAGUCUAUGUGGAUUGCCAGUAUCCAUACUUAUUCCAGGUGAGCAUUUCGGGACGAAAUUCUUUAGGCGGGAGAGUUGUGAGACGCCUAAAAUCCUAAUUUUCCUAAUUAUUUUUUUUCAUUCCAUGCAUAAUAUAUAGUAAUUUUGUUAAUUAAUUUAGUUUUUAUUGACGUGCAAGCAUGUGCGGUUAUUAUGUGGGCGUGUAAUGUGCGGGGAUAAAAUGUUAUAAUUAAAGUUAUGGGUACAAAGCGUAAUACUUAACUUAGUUGGGGUUAAAUUGAAGAUUUAAACACUUGUGAGAUAAAUCAAAGAAGAACAUCGAAAUUAGAGGGAAAAGGUGUAAUUAAUUUAAAAAAUUGAUGGUGGUUGUCGGCCCAUUGUAUCUAUAGUGCUUGUAAAGAAACAAAAAAAAAGGAACAGAAAGAGGAAAGGGAAAGGAGAGAAGACCGAGAGAAGGAAAAAAGAGAGAAGGCAAGGAAACUCAGAGAAAAAGAGAAAAAAACAAAGAAGAGGGAGAGACGCAUAAAGAAAAUACAUCUUUGAAGUCAUUGUGUUUAAACCAAUUGUAAGUGAAUGUAUCACUACUUUUAACUUAUUAGUUGUAAUUGUUUAAUUAUGAAAAAUCUGUUAGCAUGCAAGUUAUGAUGUUGUAAGGGUACUCGUAAUAAAUUGGGUUAGGAAAGAGAGAGAAGAUGAUAUAUGGUAAUUCCUUAAAACAAAAUAUCAUAUAUAAAUUAUGAAUAGAAUCCUACCGAAAUUGAUUGAUUUUGAAGAAAAAUAAGUUGUUUGUACGUAUUGAUGUCAGGAUCUAUGAAAAUAGUCUCUGGAAAAAAAGAAAAAAAAAAUUUGAAAACAACAGAGAGGGGAGCCGAAGCUCCUGUGUGCUUCCAGCUGCAGACGGAAAUUAUCCAUGUGGGCGCGCCGAUGAGACCUAUCGUUGUGUCUUUAUUUAAAGUUGGUCAUCGAUGAGUUUUUGUGUCGUAAUAAAUAUCCUUUUCUAAUGUUUUUCAGCAUUUCUGAAUAAAUGGUAGGUCUGUUUAACCUAAUUCGAAGUUACAAUGAUUUGGGACAGCAGUAGUGAUCGGUAGAGAUUUUAAGCGUAUAUGGCAAACAAUCACGGUGAAACUUGGUCCACUGCCUUAAAAAUUUAAUGGAGUUGUGCCGACUAUGAUUUAAUGAUCAUCCAUUGGAUCAAAUUAAUAUUUUAUAGAUUUGAGUUGUAUACAUCGUAAUUUUGCGUACUAAUAAAGUUAUUAACCAGGAGCUAAGGAAAGGAGAAGGGCCUUCAAGCAAACUUAGGUGUGACUUGACUACGGUGACAGGUGGGAAAUAAUAUAUUAAGAUAAUCUUUAUUCAUAUUGAAUUGCUUGUCUUUUAUCGAUUGAUGAUGAUUUGGUGAAUUUAUAUAAAUAUAUACGACUGGGUGAUAAUGAGUAUAUCUGUGGAUUAUAUCGUGAAGGUGAUGUGGCAAUGCAUUCCUUAUCCCUUGUGUUCUUGCAUUGCCUGGUGAAAGUUAACUCACGGUGGGUUAACCUAAGCUUAGUCACGGUGGACUAGCCUAGGAGGUUGGCCACGUGGGCAUUCAAUUCCUUGCUAACGAGCCAACAAAUAUGGGC